AUUGAACGCUGGCGGCAGGCCUAACACAUGCAAGUCGAGCGGAUGAAGGGAGCUUGCUCCUGGAUUCAGCGGCGGACGGGUGAGUAAUGCCUAAGAAUCUGCCUGGUAGUGGGGGAUAACGUCCGGAAACGGGCGCUAAUACCGCAUACGUCCUGAGGGAGAAAGUGGGGGAUCUUCGGACCUCACGCUAUCAGAUGAGCCUAGGUCGGAUUAGCUAGUUGGUGGGGUAAAGGCCUACCAAGGCGACGAUCCGUAACUGGUCUGAGAGGAUGAUCAGUCACACUGGAACUGAGACACGGUCCAGACUCCUACGGGAGGCAGCAGUGGGGAAUAUUGGACAAUGGGCGAAAGCCUGAUCCAGCCAUGCCGCGUGCGUGAAGAAGGUCUUCGGAUUGUAAAGCACUUUAAGUUGGGAGGAAGGGCAGUAAGUUAAUACCUUGCUGUUUUGACGUUACCAACAGAAUAAGCACCGGCUAACUUCGUG
rnacentral:rRNA from 1 species